AUCCUGGCUCAGGAUGAACGCUGGCGGCGUGCCUAACACAUGCAAGUCGAACGAAGCACUUCUGAUCGGAGAUUCGUCGAAGAACGGGAAUGACUUAGUGGCGGACGGGUGAGUAAUGCGUGAGCAACCUGCCUUUCAGAGGGGGACAACAGUUGGAAACGACUGCUAAUACCGCAUAAUGUACAGAGGGGGCAUCCCUUUUGUACCAAAGGAGCAAUCCGCUGAAAGAUGGGCUCACGUCUGAUUAGCUGGUUGGUGAGGUAACGGCUCACCAAGGCUGCGAUCAGUAGCCGGACUGAGAGGUUGAACGGCCACAUUGGGACUGAGAUACGGCCCAGACUCCUACGGGAGGCAGCAGUGGGGAAUAUUGGGCAAUGGGCGAAAGCCUGACCCAGCAACGCCGCGUGAAGGAAGAAGGCCUUCGGGUUGUAAACUUCUUUUACCAGGGACGAACACAAUGACGGUACCUGGAGAAUAAGCCACGGCUAACUACGUGCC
rnacentral:rRNA from 1 species